rnacentral:rRNA from 1 species
AUCCGGGACGAGGACCAUGUCUGGUGGGUAGUUUGACUGGGGCGGUCUCCUCCUAAAGAGUAACGGAGGAGUACGAAGGUGCGCUCAGCGUGGUCGGAAAUCACGCGUAGAGUAUAAAGGCAAAAGCGCGCUUAACUGCGAGACCCACAAGUCGAGCAGGUACGAAAGUAGGUCUUAGUGAUCCGGUGGUUCUGUAUGGAAGGGCCAUCGCUCAACGGAUAAAAGGUACUCUGGGGAUAACAGGCUGAUACCGCCCAAGAGUUCAUAUCGACGGCGGUGUUUGGCACCUCGAUGUCGGCUCAUCUCAUCCUGGGGCUGAAGCAGGUCCCAAGGGUAUGGCUGUUCGCCAUUUAAAGAGGUACGCGAGCUGGGUUUAGAACGUCGUGAGACAGUUCGGUCCCUAUCUACCGUGGGCGUUGGAAAUUUGAGAGGAUCUGCUCCUAGUACGAGAGGACCAGAGUGGACGAACCUCUGGUGUACCGGUUGUGACGCCAGUCGCAUCGCCGGGUAGCUAUGUUCGGAAGGGAUAACCGCUGAAAGCAUCUAAGCGGGAAGCCUACCUCAAGAUAAGAUUUCCCUAGGA